UACGAAGGGGGCAAGCGUUGUCCGGAUUUAUUGGGCGUAAAGAGCGUGUAGGCGGCCUGACAGGUCUGCUGUGAAAACUCGAGGCUCAACCUCGAGAUGUCGGCGGAAACCGUCUGGCUAGAGUCCGGAAGAGGAGAGUGGAAUUCCUGGUGUAGCGGUGAAAUGCGCAGAUAUCAGGAAGAACACCUAUGGCGAAGGCAGCUCUCUGGGACGGUACUGACGCUGAGACGCGAAAGCGUGGGGAGCGAACAGG
rnacentral:rRNA from 1 species